UUGGGAAUUUUGCACAAUGGACGAAAGUCUGAUGCAGCAACGCCGCGUGAAGGAUGAAGAUCUUCGGAUUGUAAACUUCUUUUAUAGGGGAGUAACUUUUUGAACGUACCCUAUGAAUAAGCACCGGCUAACUCCGUGCCAGCAGCCGCGGUAAUACGGAGGGUGCAAACGUUGUCCGGAAUUACUGGGCGUAAAGCGCAUGUAGGUGGUUUAGUAAGUGAACGAUUAAAUACCAACGCUUAACGUUGGAACUGUUGUUCAUACUGCUUGACUAGAGGAAGACAGGGGCAGAUGGAACUUUAAGUGUAGGAGUGAUAUCCGUAGAUAUUUAAAGGAACACCAAUGGCGAAGGCAGUCUGCUGGGUCUUUUCUGACACUGAGAUGCGAAAGUGUGGGGAGCAAACGGG
rnacentral:rRNA from 1 species